rnacentral:rRNA from 1 species
UGGGGGAUAUUGCACAAUGGGCGAAAGCCUGAUGCAGCGACGCCGCGUGGGGGAUGAAGGCCUUCGGGUUGUAAACUUCUUUUGCUCUGAACAAGGCGCACCAUGGGGUGUGUUGAGUGUAGGGGUUGAUUAGCGCCGGCUAACUACGUGCCAGCAGCCGCGGUAAUACGUAGGGCGCGAGCGUUGUCCGGAAUUAUUGGGCGUAAAGGGCUUGUCGGUGGCUGGUUGCGUCUGUCGUGAAAGCUCAUGGCUUAACUGUGGGUUUGCGGUGGGUACGGGCUGGCUUGAGUGCAGUAGGGGAGGCUGGAAUUCCUGGUGUAGCGGUGGAAUGCGCAGAUAUCAGGAGGAAUACCGGUGGCGAAGGCGGGUCUCUGGGCUGUUACUGACACUGAGGAGCGAAAGCAUGGGGAGCGAACAGG